rnacentral:rRNA from 1 species
GAUGAACGCUGGCGGCGUGCCUAAUACAUGCAAGUCGAGCGAACGGACGAGAAGUUUGCUUCUCUGAUGUUAGCGGCGGACGGGUGAGUAACACGUGGAUAACCUACCUAUAAGACUGGGAUAACUUCGGGAAACCGGAGCUAAUACCGGAUAAUAUUUUGAACCGCAUGGUUCAAAAGUGAAAGACGGUCUUGCUGUCACUUAUAGAUGGAUCAGCGCUGCAUUAGCUAGUUGGUAAGGUAACGGCUUACCAAGGCAACGAUGCAUAGCCGACCUGAGAGAGUGAUCGGCCACACUGGAACUGAGACACAGUCCAGACUCCUACGGGAGGCAGCAGUAGGGAAUCUUCCGCAAUGGGCGAAAGCCUGACGUAGCAACGCCGCGUGAGUGAUGAAGGUCUUCGGAUCGUAAAGCUCUGUUAUUAGGGAAGAACAUAUGUGUAAGUAACUGUGCACAUCUUGACGGUACCGAAUCAGAAAGCCACGGCUAACUACGUG